UAGCUCCAAAUGUGGCAGGAAGUGGGCGUGGGGGGGUCGGGGGGGGGGGAAUCGGGAGGCGCAGGGGGCGGGAUCCAUAAAAAGCGGUGUGGAGGUGUACAGCCUGAGCCUGACUCCACGCCACUGGGUAAUUUAUGUUGUCACACUGCUGUUCUUGGUGCGGAGGCAUUCAGAAUGUCACAGAGGCCAGACCUACGGGCUCCUGGACCCCUGGGCCGGCAGGGCAUCUUGGAAGAACAGUGUUUGGUUUGAUACCUGCAGCAGAGGGGAGGAAAGCCCAGGGACGUAGCGUGAGGAGGUGAUCCAUCGUGUCCCAGUACAUCCGGGACUAGCUUUCUGAGCCCCCUAUCCAAAGCUGGCUUUAUUUCCGUUAACACUGGUGCUCCCGCAUCUCACGAGUACACGCUGUGUCCUCUCCUCUCUGCAUUUCAUUAUCCCCCCCACACCCCCAGACAUGGGGAAAGGGUUGAGCAGCAAGCCUUGGUUCAUGAACGUUUUAAUUCCUUGUUAAAGUAAAUUAGGCAAUGCCAAAGGCUGUGGGUUUGGUCCUUGGAAAAAACGUGGGCCUUAAAGAUGGGAGAGUAAAUUUUGGAGGGCUUUAUUGAAGAAAUAAAAGACAUCUUUUGUAUCUUUCUUCCCCGGAGCCCUUCAUUUUUGUAACUGUGUUCCUGUUGGUUUAAUUAAACAUAGAAAGGUAAGAUGUUGAGUCCACCUGCCUUGGAGCAGACCCAGGUCUGAACUUUUUCAAAUCCUUGACACAUUUAACUUGAAGGAUUUGAAACACACAAUCAUAGGUUACCUAGUUCAGUUUUAUGUCCUACUGGAUUGAGUUUUUUUUUUAAUGUUUGAAAGCAUAGUUUUAUGGUAGUCCUUCUGGGAAGAAUCCAGUAUUAUCUAAAAUUAUUGGCAAAGUUAAAUGUAUUUUACGUAACAAAGUUUUUAGAAUGUUGAGAAGUAACUGAAAAUAGAGUGAUGUUUAGGCUGAGGUAAUUUAUUUCAAUACAUCUUUCAAAAGCCUUAUCUUGAAACACUGUUAGUAAAUUUCUGUGAUUAUUUUUCUUUUUAAAUUGGUUUUGCUGAGAGCAUAGCUAUUUGUUUUUAUUGUAAAACAAUAAUAAUGAUAAUAAAAAGCAAACUCUCCUAGUGUGUUGUGUGUGGCUGGGAGGUAAGGCAGUUUUUUUCGGAGGUGCGGAGAUUAGAGCGCGUUUUGAUUUUGUGUGUUCCGUUCUGGUUGGAGGGUUUUUUCAUCCUUAUAAUUAUAUAUGUGUGCAUGUUGUGCACAUUUAAAGAUGAUACCAAUUCCAUGUGUUCUUAUGUUUCAGAUGUGUGAAAAGAGAAAAUGUUUUGGAGUCAAUUUUAGAGGGUCCUGAGACAUUGGAAUACAGCAAUAUGACAGUGAUCAAAGUGGAGCCAUGCCUUUAAAAUGACCCCAAAAGAGAAGUCCUAAAUUCACCCAUAGAUUUUACACCUGGAUAGUAAAGGGUUCUGGGCACUAAUUGUAUUGUCUCUUGAGUUUGGUCACUUCUUGAGGGCAUCUGCGACAGAUGGCAAGGGCAGGAGGCUAGACCAGUGUCCCGUUCCAUCAGGUGGUCCCCAUCCCAUGGCCCCUUCACUGUGCUGGCCGUCUCCAGGAAGGGAGCCUGUCCUCGUGCUCCGCCACGUAGCCCAAAGCGGAGGCCAGGCUGCUGGUUCACGUUUGUAAACUGAGUGUUUGGGUGCUCUGUGAAUGGUGGUGGAGGUGCCCUUGCCCUCUCUGGGCUCUUUUGGAAGUGCUCUCCCUCACUCCCUCCAUUUUCUUUUGGCUCUGCUGACAUCUUGGGUUCUUGCUUUGUUUUUUUUUCUCCCCCUAAUUUUGAGGCUUUUAUGUACUGUAGAGAUCGAUGGUCCUUGUGGAUGUAUUUCUUGUGUUGAUAUAAAUCCAGGGUGCCCAGGUGGGCUUGGACCUGGUUUCCCACUUGAGCUGUGCAGACAAUAUGCUUUUUUAUCUUUAGCCGGCAGACGUGGUCCUCUCUGGGUGCGCCUUUCCCCAGUACGGGGAGGAAGCGGAGAGCUCUGUGGAGCAGGGCCUCACCUGCAGGAGGAGCCGUGGCCCUGCCGCCAAGCUGGUCAGGGAACAACGCCUGCCUGCCCUGAAGGCCCUCCGUCACCUGAAUGUCUCCAUCUCUCGGUGCCCCUGACUGCACCUUAGACUCGCUUGUGGAGUCCCUAGAGACUAUGAUGCGUAGGCUGUGCCGCCACGUGUCUCAUCUAAUUGAAUUGGUCUUUCCCUGCACCCUUUCCCAAGAAAAUGCUUCUGGAUCCCAUUUUAAGGAAGAUAAGGCAAAGAAGCUUCCGUUGUUUUUAUCUACAAAAUUCAUAUGCAAGAACUGUUAUUCUAUGGCUCAUUUUUUUUAAGAGAAGUUCAGGUACGCCAUAUGUAGAAGUCACGGCAUCCUGCAGCCUUUCGUCUGCAUCCCCCCAGACCAGUGUCCUGAAGUCAAGCUGUGGCCAGGAGCGCAGGCUUCCCAUCAACAGAGAUGGCUGUGAGCCUCCCUCUGCAGAUAAGUUGGGGCGAGGGGAGCUGGUGGGAGCAGUGCUGGGGGAGGGGUGGGCCUGGCUGGCUCACCAGCAGGCUUGUCUUGGCUGAGGAGCUCCCGGAUCUGUUCUUUGUUAACAGGAGGGGACUAGCCUCUUGUUACGCCACGGUCUCUGCAGCAGUAUCAACCCCCACUUUCCAUCCUCACUAGAUUCAAAAGGCCACUGGAAUUGCCAAGGAGAGGACUUCCUGGGCUCUUGGUGUGCGGAGGAUUACAAUUAACUGCCCUUGCCCAGACCCUGCCAUCUCCUAGGUGGAGCACUCGACUGCUUGGCUAGUAAGCGAUCCAUGGACAUGAUGCAAGGAUUUUGAUGAGCUGUGUUACCUCCAGGUCUCAGUCUCAACUGAUGUGCAACUAACUGCAGUAGAAACCUGGCAACCCAGUGGAGAGGUAGUGAGACCUGCCACCUGGAGGAAUUGAGAACCAGAUUCCGUACACCAGGCUGUGCUCAGCUGCUCCGUGUGUGUUCAGCCUGCCGGGGACUUCUGGCAUCCAGGUGCAACAGGAGAGGCUUUUAAAGCUGUCCAACACAAACAUCCCCACAUGAGAAAGAGCGAACACAGGUUACUGAAACAAAGGAAAAGGUGGAGGGGCGCACGCACACAAAGGGAGCAUCCAUCUGAGAGACGGAGAAGCAGAAUGUCAGCGGGAAAAACCACAACCCGGUUCCCAAAGACUAUGAAAGCUGAUCUGGUAUGUAAUACAUAGUGCUCAUCAGGACAAAAAUAAAACCAAAAUCUAAAACUAAAAAAAAAUGAUAAAGGUACUCUGUAGAAAGGGAGCUGGGGGAAACUGUUUCCUAUAGGGCUCUAUUUAUAUAUAUAUAUAUAUAUAUAUAUAUAUAUAUGUUCCAUAUUCUUUUGGGGCAGCUACUGGCCCGUGAGAGCUGUGCUUUUUCUAUGCAAACCUGGAGUGAGCGUGUGGUUGGAGUGGCUCGGGCCUGGGCGGGGGGAGGGCUGUGGACGGUGAGGCCGCGUCUGGAAAGCGUGGCCUGAGCACACUCCCGGGAACCAGCGCCCCGGGUGCGGACAGGCGGCACCUCUGCAGGUAGGAUGGGGUGGGCAUGGGUGCAGCUGUGGGUGUUUAUUUCAGAAAGAAAAAAAGAUGGAUGAGAUGCUGAGUUUUCCUUUAUCCUUUUUUUUUUUUUUUAAGCUACAAAGCACAUGGGAAAUGUUCUUCUUUUCCUUUCAAAUUCUAGAUGUAAAGACUCAACUAAAACCGGAUUCUACAGCAUUCUACAGAAAUACACAGCCGUCAGUCACUCUGGGUUGUAGGUUAGACAGGGGCUUGAUACAGAAAGGCUGUGUGUCUUACAAAGGCCAAAAGGUCAUGCUACCAGGAGAUCAACGUCAACAGCAAAGAGUCCGUGAAGCAGUCUGUAGAGAGAGAGAUAAGGGGUCCAGUCUGACCAUUUUCCUUGAUUUAAAACACCAACCACCCAACCAACCAACCAACCCUCCAACAUGUUUAAUAAUGUUGAGGUGGGGCAAGAUGGGGCAGCAUCGCAGGGGGAUCAGGAAUCCAGGGGAAGUCUAGCCUGGGCCUCCUGGGAGGCCUCACCCCUCAGGACCCUGACCCAGCCAGGUCUGCAGAUCUGCCCUCCCCUCAGCCACUCCUGCCCGUUCUCCACAUCACUCCCCUUCUCUUGCCAGCCCUCUUGGAGGGGGAGCCCUUUUGGAGGGAGGAGCAGCUUCAGCUCUGCAGGUGACCUUGUGCUUUGCACGGCCCGCCCCCUCAGCUGCUUGCAGAAAGCAGCCAGAGUCUCCCUUUUCUCUGACUCUUGCCUUGUUAACAUGAAUAAAGAAAACUCAGGAGACAGAGAGUGGAUUGGGCAGAGCAGUGACUCUUCUAAAUUCUUGAAGUUAACCACCUCUACCACCCAAAAGAGAAGCAUCCUUAAUUUUUCUGUCGGGAGUAUAGGGCAGGGAGACAUUUGGGAUGCUGGCCAUUUUUUAAAGGUUUUGGAAUUCGCACAAGAGCAGGACAGAACUGACAGCACACAGCCUCAGCGUGUGGAUGCAGAGGAAAAGGCUGGACUAAGGCCAGGCCUUUCCUUGCCCUCUCCCUGCUCACAGAAAUGGGUCUCAGAGUGUAAAAUCAUGUGGCUGUUCUUAAAAGGAUGGACUCCCAAAUCAGGACUGCCAUCGUGACGUACGUGUGUGUGUGUGUGCGUGUGUGCAUGUAAGUGCAUGCUCAGGUGCUGUCCCAGGAAAACCUUAAUGAUCAAUGGAAUGUUGGUCAGUUCUGUCUGAAGCUCCUUCUAGUACAAACUAAAAAAAAACUUAAUAUAUAUUUGUCUGUCUAUAUAUAAGGUUUGUUAUGCCUUUUUGAAGUUAAUUUACCAACUUGCAUUUGUUUGUUAGUGGAGUGUGUAUGUGUGCAAGCUUUUCUGUGAAUGCUGGAAUCAUUACCAAAUAGGUUGCUAUACAGGACAAGAGGUCAGUACAAGCCGCAGCCCCGGAGGUUGUUGGCAAUGAUGAUGUCAGUGACAGCGUCGAAUACCACCUGGAUAUUAUUCGUGUCUGUGGCACAAGUCAUGUGACAAUAAAUUUCUUUGUUGGGUGA